rnacentral:lncRNA from 1 species
UAUUUUUAAGGGUUUUGGGAUUUCGGGUUUUGGGGUAUCCAGAUUCCUAGCUUUAGGGUUUCGCGGAUUCCUGGUUUAGGGUUUCAAACUCUAGGGUUGCGAGGGUUCCUGGUUUAGGGUUUCAAACUCUAGGGUUGCGAGGGUUCCUGGUUUAGGGUUUCAAACUCUAGGGUUGCGAGGGUUCCUGGUUUAGGGUUUCAAACUCUAGGGUUGCGAGGGUUCCUGGUUUAGGGUUUCAAACUCUAGGGUUGCGAGGGUUCCUGGUUUAGGGUUGCGCGGGUCCCGGGGUUUAGGGUUUCAGGGUAUCGCGGGGUUUUAGGGUUUUAGGGUUUUAGGGUUUUAGGGUUUUAAGGGUUUUAGGGUUUUAGGGUUUUAGGGUUUUAGGGUUUUACCCCUUUUGGAAGGAUAUGCCAGGAAGCAGACGCCCUUGGUAGGGGGGUCAAUCGAUCACAUUUUUCACGUAUAAUCCAUUUAUGCUAUCAAAUAUGGCCAUACCAUGGGGUAUUUGGAAAGUUAUGGCCAAAAUAAGGCUUAAAACCCAUUUUUCUCAAAAAUGAGGGUCGGUCUGGGGGUAAAAAAAAACAUAUCUAUAUAUGUCAUUGAAAACUACAUCCGUUGGUGAUUUCAAAAAUACCUGUUUCAUGGCUACCAGAAAAGUUAUGGGCCAAAAAUGGAGGCCCUGUCUUAACUAGGCAUUAAUUUACCCCUUCUGGAAGGCUAUGCCCGGAAGCAGAUACCCUUGAUAGGG